GGCUGGUUAGCUCAGUUGGUUAGAGUGUGGUGCUGAUGACACCAAGGUCCAGAGUUUGAUUCCCAUACUGGCCA